rnacentral:rRNA from 1 species
GAGCGGUAACAGAAAGUAGCUUGCUACUUUGCUGACGAGCGGCGGACGGGUGAGUAAUGCUUGGGAACAUGCCUUGAGGUGGGGGACAACAGUUGGAAACGACUGCUAAUACCGCAUAAUGUCUACGGACCAAAGGGGGCUUCGGCUCUCGCCUUUAGAUUGGCCCAAGUGGGAUUAGCUAGUUGGUGAGGUAAUGGCUCACCAAGGCGACGAUCCCUAGCUGGUUUGAGAGGAUGAUCAGCCACACUGGGACUGAGACACGGCCCAGACUCCUACGGGAGGCAGCAGUGGGGAAUAUUGCACAAUGGGCGCAAGCCUGAUGCAGCCAUGCCGCGUGUGUGAAGAAGGCCUUCGGGUUGUAAAGCACUUUCAGUCAGGAGGAAAGCGUGGUGGUUAAUACCCAUCAUGUGUGACGUUACUGACAGAAGAAGCACCGGCUAACUCCGUGCCAGCAGCCGCGGUAAUACGGAGGGUGCGAGCGUUAAUCGGAAUUACUGGGCGUAAAGCGUACGCAGGCGGUUUGUUAAGCGAGAUGUGAAAGCCCCGGGCUCAACCUGGGAACUGCAUUUCGAACUGGCAAACUAGAGUGUGAUAGAGGGUGGUAGAAUUUCAGGUGUAGCGGUGAAAUGCGUAGAGAUCUGAAGGAAUACCGAUGGCGAAGGCAGCCACCUGGGUCAACACUGACGCUCAUGUACGAAAGCGUGGGGAGCAAACGGGAUUAGAUACCCCGGUAGUCCACGCCGUAAACGAUGUCUACUAGAAGCUCGGAGCCUCGGUUCUGUUUUUCAAAGCUAACGCAUUAAGUAGAC